UACGUAGGGACCAAGCGUUGUUCGGAUUUACUGGGCGUAAAGGGCGCGUAGGCGGUAUGACAAGUCACUUGUGAAAUCUCCGGGCUUAACUCGGAAAGGUCAACUGAUACUGUGCGACUAGAGUGCAGAAGGGGCAACUGGAAUUCUCGGUGUAGCGGUGAAAUGCGUAGAUAUCGAGAGGACCUCCGGCGGAGGAGGCGGGCUGGGCUGACACUGACGCUGAUGCGCGAAAGCCAGGGGAGCGAACGGG
rnacentral:rRNA from 1 species